rfam:Eubacterium sp. CAG:202 genomic scaffold, scf178
CGGCAGGCCCUGUACGAUUGGGGUCUGUGAAUCAUGUCAGGCGGGGAACCGAGCAGCAUUAAGCAGUAUUGCCGAUGCGAUGCAGUAAGUCUGUCGUUC